GAUAUCGCGAUAGGAGUGAUAAUGUGGCAAGGAUAUCGCGAUAGGAGUGAUAGUGUGGCAGGGAUAUCGUGAUAGGAACAAUAGCAUGGCAGAGAUAUCGCGAUAGGGAUGAUAAUGGGACAGGGAUAUCGCAAUAGGGAUGAUAGAGUGGCACUGAUAUCGCGAUAGGAGUGAUAAUGUGGCAAGGAUAUCGCGAUAGGAGUGAUAGUGUGGCAGGGAUAUCGUGAUAGGAACAAUAGCAUGGCAGAGAUAUCGCGAUAGGGAUGAUAAUGGGACAGGGAUAUCGCGAUAGGGAUGAUAGAGUGGCACUGAUAUCGCGAUAGGAGUGAUAAUGUGGCAAGAAUAUCGCGACAGGAACGAUAUUGUGGCAGGGAUAUCGCGAUAGGGCCUAUAUCGCGAUAGGGCCUAUAGAUAAUGUGAUAGGGCUCCCAGAUAUCGCGAUAGGGCGGAUAUAUAUCACAAUAGGGCUGAUAUAUAUUGCGAUAGGGCCAACAGAUACCGUGAUAGGACCGAUAGAUAUCACGAUAGGGCAUACAGAUAUCGUGAUAGGGCCUAUAUAGCGAUAGGGCCUAUAGAUAUCGUGAUAGGGCUCACAGAUAUCACAAUAGGGCCACUAGAUACCGCGAUAGGGCCAAUAGAUAUCACGAUAGGGCC
ensembl:lncRNA